rnacentral:miRNA from 1 species
GGUUUCUCUGUGUAGCCCUGGCUGUCCUGGUCUACUCACUCUGUAGACCAGACUGGCCUUGAACUCAGAGAUCUGCCUGCCUCUGCCUCCCAAGUGCUGGGAUUAAAGGCGUGCGCCACCACUGCCC